UACAGGGCAGAUGAAUUAUACUAGAGCAAGGUGGAUAACACUAAUCAAGUACUUACAACAACCUAAAAACUAGCAGCAACAAGGGUCGGGCAUAAUGACAAACAGAUAAAGAACAGGAGCAUCAGACACAGAAGGUUAUUGCAACAUCCGCAUUAUGAAAGAACUUGCAGUUCAUACUUAAGCAAGACAGCAGUAGCAAUAAAUAAUGGUGAGUACGCAAACUUCAUGCUUAAGAAAGAAAGUGGCAAUAUGCCUUUAGGUUGUGGUACAAAGAGACAAGAACACAACUGACAUGCAUUACAAGCAUACACAGUUGGACACAAAUACAGUGCACACGAAUUAUACUUCACCAAGGUGGAUAACGCAAAAACAACUAUUUACAACAAAGCUACCAACCAUUGAGCAGUAAAGUAAGGCAUAUUUUAUUAUACGCAGAAGUGUAUAUAAACUGAUGGGAUACACAUACUACAGAGCUAAACAAAAACGAAUUGUCUACUGUAACUAUUGUAUGUCCAUGUACAAGCCUUGCAAAGUACUAUCCCAACAAAGAACACCAGAAAGCAACAAAUAAACAUAACAUGCUUCAC
rnacentral:lncRNA from 1 species